UCUUGACAUCCAGAGAAUUUAGCAGGGAUGCUUUAGUGCCUUCGGGAACUCUGAGACAGGUGCUGCAUGGCUGUCGUCAGCUCGUGUUGUGAAAUGUUGGGUUAAGUCCGCAACGAGCGCAACCCUUAUCCUUUGUUGCCAGCGCGUAAUGGCGGGAACUCAAAGGAGACUGCCGGUGAUAAACCGGAGGAAGGUGGGGAUGACGUCGAGUCAUCAUGGCCCUUACGAGUAGGGCUACACACGUGCUACAAUGGCGCAUACAAAGAGAAGCGACCUCGCGAGAGCAAGCGGACCUCAUAAAGUGCGUCGUAGUCCGGAUUGGAGUCUGCAACUCGACUCCAUGAAGUCGGAAUCGCUAGUAAUCGUAAAUCAGAAUGUUACGGUGAAUACGUUCCCGGGCCUUGUACACACCGCCCGUCACACCAUGGGAGUGGGUUGCAAAAGAAGUAGAUAGCUUAACCUUCGGGAGGGCGUUUACCACUUUGUGAUUCAUGACUGGGGUGAAGUCGUAACAAGGUAGGCGUAGACGU
rnacentral:rRNA from 1 species